GUUAAACAAGUGCUUGAAGGCAGUAUGCUUGGUAAAAGUCAUCGCCAUUCUCUAAUCUUGAGUACCCAGGGACACGAUACACUGCGGAAGGCUGCAGGGACCUCUGCCCAGGAAAGCCAGGAUCCAGUAUCUGCCGGAGGAGCCCCACCUUCUGCUACUAUUAUGUUCUUCAGAUGAGUAGAAGAGAGUGGGGAGGGAGAGAGCAGGAAGAAGAAAGGAAGAAUAAUGUCUUGAAAUUGUUUUCUAAGGAUAAUGGUCUCCAGCUUCGUCAAUGUUCCUGCAAAGGACAUGAUGCUGACUUUGAAGAUGCAAGCUUCCACAUCUACAGCCUCAAGGAAACAAAUUCAGCCAACCAACUGAGGGAGCUUUCCUUGUCCUGCCUCAAGAUGAGAUCACAGUCUGCCCAACACCAUGAUUUAGGCCUUGUGACACCUGGUAUGGAAGACCCAAGCUCAGAUGGAAAAGAAUGGUGUUACUGAGACCCUUCAAGAUUCCCAGUGUAAUUCAAUAAAGAAAAGGCAACACAAAGGGGUUGUAUAGAAUUCGCCACAUUAUGGACCCAUGUCAUAGAGAGAAUCCACGGUGCAUUUGUUAGCUGCAUUUAAAUGACAACACUUUCAGAUCCAAGAUUUAUUUGGGAUAAAAAUUUACCUGGAUGCAAGGCUAUUCAGAAUGAAGAUUAAUGAUAUGGUUUGGCUGUGUCCCCACCCAAACUUCAUCUUGAAUUCCCACGUGUUGUGAGAGGGACCUGGUGGGAGAUAAUUGAACCAUGGGGGCAGGUCUUUCUCAUGCUGUUCUCAUGAGAGUGAAUAAGUCUCAUGAAACCUGAUGGUUUUAUAAGGGGGAAUUUCCCUGCACAAGCUCUCUCUCUGCCUUUUGCCAUCCAUGUAAGACGUGACUUGGUCCUCCUUGCCUUCUACCAUGAUUAUGAGGCCUCCCCAGCCACGUGGAACUGUGAGUCCAUUAAACCUCUUUCUUUUGUAAA
rnacentral:lncRNA from 1 species